rnacentral:siRNA from 1 species
UAUUCAUCCACCGUGUCUGACGCC